AUUGAACGCUGGCGGCAUGCCUUACACAUGCAAGUCGAACGGCAGCACGGGAGCAAUCCUGGUGGCGAGUGGCGAACGGGUGAGUAAAGUAUCGGAACGUGCCCAGUCGUGGGGGAUAACGUAGCGAAAGUUACGCUAAUACCGCAUACGAUCUAGGGAUGAAAGCGGGGGAUCGAAAGACCUCGCGCGAUUGGAGCGGCCGAUAUAAGAUUAGGUAGUUGGUGGGGUAAAGGCUCACCAAGCCGACGGUCUGUCGCGGGUCUGACAGGCAGACCGGCGAAACUGGGACUGAGACACGGCCCAGACUCCUACGGGAGGCAGCAGUGGGGAAUUUUGGACAAUGGGCGAAAGCCUGAUCCAGCCAGGCCGCGUGCAGGAUGAAGGCCUUCGGGUUGUAAACUGCUUUUGUACGGAACGAAAAGGUUUGGCCUAAUAAGCUGAGCUCAUGACGGUGCCGUAAGAAUAAGCACCGGCUAACUACGUGCCAGCAGCCGCCGUAA
rnacentral:rRNA from 1 species